rnacentral:rRNA from 1 species
UACGUAGGGUCCGAGCGUUGUCCGGAGUUACUGGGCGUAAAGCGCGCGCAGGUGGUUCACUAAGCCCGGCGUGAAAGCCCCCGGCUCAACCGGGGAGGGUCGUCGGGGACUGGUGAACUUGAGGGCGGCAGGGGCUGGUGGAAUCCCCGGUGUAGUGGUGAAAUGCGUAGAGAUCAGGCGGAACACCCGUGGCGAAGGCGGCCAGCUGGGCCGUCCCUGACGCUGAGGCGCGAAGGCGUGGGGAGCGAACGGG